AAACGGUAAAGGUGUGUUGAAUUUUUGUGUGUGAAUAAUAAAAUUCAGGACUAACAGGACCUCAAAUUUGGUUCUAUUUGUAAUAAUAAUUUGUAAUAAUACUGACUGAAAGGUAAACUUAAGAACAGAGAUGGGAUACAUACAUACAUACAUACAUAAAUCAUCUAAACCGCUUAUCCUUCUGGGUCGCGGUGGGGUGCUGGAGCUUAUCCCAGCGGAAGGCAGGAUACACCCUGGACAGGUCGCCAGUCCAUCGCAGGGCAUGGGAUACAUGUGUCGCUGACCUAUAUUUGUGAAUGUUGCACCACUUGGCAGCCUGAAGAUACUUCUACGUCUUCAUUUUAAAAGGAGAAAAUGUGUUGGACCUGGUGGAGGUGUUCCUGACCAAGCAGGGCAACAGUGCUCUGGUUCUGGGGAUGGUGGAGCCUCUGCUCAGCGUGAUCGAGAACGGAAUGAGCUCUGAGAGCGGUCAGCAGGAGGUGGACUUCCUGCGCAGAGCCGCAGACAUCUUCAGUGUCUGCAGCAUGUGGAGUGCAAGAACAAAGCUGUGCAUGAGAGAACAGUGAAAGCUCUGGAGCUCUGCCAGUACCUGGUCAAAACCGUUCACACACAGAAGGUGGAGGUGAAUCUGGAUCCUCUCCAGGAUGUUCUGAGGUCCAUGAACGCUGAUGGGAGCCUGCAGAAGGCUGGACAGCUGGAGGACACGUACUGGAGCGUCAUGAGACUCUUCGGCAUUCAGAAACCCAACCACGGAAACCACAGCAGGAGGUGUGAAAGGAGGGAAGAAGAACAAGAAGAGGAAAGGACAAGGAGGAGAGCAGUCUGAGGCUCAGCCUCCAAACAAAAAGGCC